rnacentral:lncRNA from 1 species
AACGCUUUCCGGGGCGGGGCCGGGGGGGGGGGCGGGAGCGCAGCUCUGCUCCCAGCCUCCUCUCCUCCCUCACGUGGUCUGGUGACCAGUCACAUGCCCGCCCGCCUGCCUGGGGGAGAAGUUGGUGAGUGGGCGCACCUCCACUAGGCUCCCAGCACAGCUGUGCCUCCGGCAGUACAGACUGCCCACUUGUGUGGGUUCGGAUCGCACAGCGUGGAGCCAAUCCCACCAGGCUGGGCGAGCAUGCCCGGAGAGUUAGCCAAGUCAGGGCCUGGGAGGAAUUCUGCCCUGACUCUGCAAGAGCCAAGGAGACCAAGCGGACGAGAGAAGAUUCAGCUUCGGGUCGCAGAGGCAGAAUUGUGCUGUGGCAAGUGGUGGGACAAGGCCUUAAUUACAGGGACCUUUGUCCAACUGACACGCUGAAAAUUGGCCCCGGGGAUGAUUCAGCAGCAAUCACUUCCAGAGAAAAACCCUAUCUGGGAUGACGUCAUCUCACGCCACACCCACCGUUCCUGCUCGCCUCUCCUCUCCAGAAGCCCAGUCCCAUCUGUGGAGCUCCGAGUUGCCAUCUGCAUUGUGACAAAUAUGCAUUUUAUUACUGAAAUAGCAUUCCUGCGCCCAACGGUGCCCUCAGCACUCCACAUUUAAUAGCACUUAGAAAAGGAAGAAAUCCCAGCCCCGGGGAUGACCAAGGGCAUACAUACCGCGAGCUCUGUCUGCCGUGUCCUGUAUCCGGAGCUGGAUAUUUUAUCUCUGCACACCACGAAUAUUUAGACUCUGAGGCAAAGAGAUUGGUUUAACUUGAUCACUGGAAAUCCAGGCACAUGGCGAGUGUGGCUAUGCAGGAAGCUUACAGAGUAUGGAGAAAAAAGUGCCCAAGACGGACCGGGCAUCUGUGCAGGGCCUGGAUUGAAGACCCCAAUUCACCAGCCACCCCCUUUUCCCUGACCAAUAAUACCAGGCAAGUGCUUGUGAGAGGCACCCUUAUCUUCAUCUACUAAUUUUGGUUUUCCUUGCUACUUCAGGAGAGAGCCAUUUUAUUUCUGUCAUCUAAUUUUGAAGAGCAGUGG